UAGCCUACGGGGCGCAGCAGUGGGGAAUAUUGCACAAUGGGGGGAACCCUGAUGCAGCGACGCCGCGUGAGGGAUGAAGGUCUUCGGAUCGUAAACCUCUGUCAGCAGGGAAGAACGGUCACUGUGCUAAUCAGCAGUGCAUUGACGGUACCUGCAAAGGAAGCACCGGCUAACUCCGUGCCAGCAGCCGCGGUAAUACGGAGGGUGCGAGCGUUAAUCGGAAUUACUGGGCGUAAAGCGCUCGUAGGCGGUAUGUCAAGUCAAGG
rnacentral:rRNA from 1 species